AUUGAGCGCUGGCGGCAGGCUUAACACAUGCAAGUCGAGCGGGGAAGGGUAGCUUGCUACCUGACCUAGCGGCGGACGGGUGAGUAAUGCUUAGGAAUCUGCCUAUUAGUGGGGGACAACAUUCCGAAAGGAAUGCUAAUACCGCAUACGCCCCACGGGGGAAAGCAGGGGAUCUUCGGACCUUGCGCUAAUAGAUGAGCCUAAGUCAGAUUAGCUAGUUGGUGGGGUAAAGGCCUACCAAGGCGACGAUCUGUAGCGGGUCUGAGAGGAUGAUCCGCCACACUGGGACUGAGACACGGCCCAGACUCCUACGGGAGGCAGCAGUGGGGAAUAUUGGACAAUGGGCGAAAGCCUGAUCCAGCCAUGCCGCGUGUGUGAAGAAGGCCUUUUGGUUGUAAAGCACUUUAAGCGAGGAGGAGGCUACCGAGAUUAAUACUCUUGGAUAGUGGACGUUACUCGCAGAAUAAGCACCGGCUAACUCUGUGCCAGCCGCCGCGGUAA
rnacentral:rRNA from 1 species